rnacentral:tRNA from 1 species
GCAGUCGUGGCCGAGUGGUUAAGGCGAUGGUCUCGAAAACCAUUGGGGUUUCCUCGCACAGGUUCGAAUCCUGUCGGCUGCG